rnacentral:rRNA from 1 species
UACGUAGGGUGCGAGCGUUGUCCGGAAUUAUUGGGCGUAAAGAGCUCGUAGGCGGUGUGUCGCGUCGGCCGUGAAAACCUGGGGCUUAACUCUGGGCGUGCGGUCGAUACGGGCAUCACUAGAGUUCGGCAGGGGAGACUGGAAUUCCUGGUGUAGCGGUGAAAUGCGCAGAUAUCAGGAGGAACACCGAUGGCGAAGGCAGAUGUUCUGGGCCAAGUACUGACGCUGAGGAGCGAAAGCGUGGGGAGCAA